rnacentral:rRNA from 1 species
UACGAAGGGGGCUAGCGUUGUUCGGAAUUACUGGGCGUAAAGCGUGCGCAGGCGGCUUCUCAAGUCAGGGGUGAAAGCCCAGAGCUCAACUCUGGAAUUGCCUUUGAGACUGAGAGGCUUGAGUACGGGAGAGGUGAGUGGAAUUCCCAGUGUAGAGGUGAAAUUCGUAGAUAUUGGGAAGAACACCAGUGGCGAAGGCGGUUGCCUGGAGCUUUGCUGACGCUGAGGCGCGAAAGCGUGGGGAGCGAUCCGG